GUACUUGCUUCAGCAGCACAUAUACUGAACUUGGAAUGAUACAGAGAGGAUUAGCAUGGCUCCUGCUCAAGGAUAACACACAAAUUCAUGAAGCAUUCAGUAUUUUG
rnacentral:snRNA from 1 species